rnacentral:rRNA from 1 species
CCUACGGGAGGCAGCAGUGGGGAAUAUUGCACAAUGGGGGAAACCCUGAUGCAGCGACGCCGCGUGAAGGAAGAAGUAUUUCGGUAUGUAAACUUCUAUCAGCAGGGAAGAAAAUGACGGUACCUGACUAAGAAGCCCCGGCUAACUACGUGCCAGCAGCCGCGGUAAUACGUAGGGGGCAAGCGUUAUCCGGAUUUACUGGGUGUAAAGGGAGCGUAGGCGGUUUAGCAAGUCAGAAGUGAAAGCCCGGGGCUCAACCUCCGAAUUGCAUUUGAAACUGUUUUUCUUGAGUACUGGAGAGGCAGACGGAAUUCCUUGUGUAGCGGUGAAAUGCGUAGAUAUAAGGAGGAACACCAGUGGCGAAGGCGGUCUGCUGGACAGCAACUGACGGUGAGGCGCGAAAGCGUGGGGAGCAAACAGGAUUAGAUACCCCAGUAGUC